rnacentral:rRNA from 1 species
UACGUAGGGGGCAAGCGUUGUCCGGAAUCAUUGGGCGUAAAGCGCGUGUAGGCGGCUUGGUAAGUCUGGCGUGAAAUCUUGGGGCUCAACCCCAAGCCUGCGCUGGAUACUGCCUCGCUCGAGUCCGGGAGAGGAAAGCGGAAUUCCCAGUGUAGCGGUGAAAUGCGCAGAUAUUGGGAAGAACACCGAUGGCGAAGGCAGCUUUCUGGAACGGUACUGACGCUGAGACGCGAAAGCGUGGGGAG